rnacentral:rRNA from 1 species
CCCUUAGAUGCUCUGGGCCGCACGCGCGCUACACUGGUCGAUGCAACGAGUUUCUUUCCUUGGCCGACAGGCCUGGGCAAUCUUUGAACAUCGAUCGUGAUCGGGAUAGAUUCUUGUAAUUUUUGAUCUUAAACGAGGAAUUCCUAGUAAACGCAAGUCAUCAGCUUGCAUUGAUUACGUCCCUGCCCUUUGUACACACCGCCCGUCGCACCUACCGAUUGAAUGGUCCGGUGAAAUCUCCGGACUGGCGUGAGUCGGAGCAAUCUGACAAACACCGGCAAGUUGAUUAAACCUUACCAUUUAGAGGAAGGUGAAGUCGUAACA